AAAGUCGUAACAAGGUUUCCGUAGGUGAACCUGCGGAAGGAUCAUUAACAAAUUUUCCCAACCAAACACGUAUGUGAACUGUUAUCAAGUCCAUGGUGUGCCCCGUCCUAUUUUGCAUUGACUGCACUCCAGUCUCUAGCUUUAGGCGGACCAUCAUGCUUAUUUACGUAUGACUACAACUGAACUGAGACUUUAUUUUAAAUAAAGACAACUUUUAGCAACGGAUCUCUAGGCUCUC
rnacentral:misc_RNA from 1 species